GUGCUCACUUCAGCAGCACAUCCACUAAAGUUGGAACAAAUGAUACAGAGAUGAUUAGUAUGGCCCCUGUGCAAGGAUGACAUGAAAAUUUGUGUCAUAUUUUA